GACAUUGUGGUGCAAUGGUUUGAAUGCUGGACUAUGAUUCUGGAGACCAGGAUUCAAAUCCCUGCUCAGCCA